GACAAGUGCCACUUCCCCAAAAUUGUGGCAACUCUGGGGAAUCUAAAGUUCAAGUAUCAGCUGGCUGGUGUUUCUCUGUGGAGACAAACCACAGUCCAAAGCGAAGCCCGACCUUCCUUCUAUUGCUGGCAAAAUGACUCUAAUUCUUCUAUUGCGCUUCCUUUUAACUUCAUGGAAGAAAUGGCAUUGGAGUUUGUUUAAAAGCAUGAGACCGGCCUUCGCUACAUGUGAGUGUUCAAAAAUAAACACUUCAGGAAAAGUUUUGCUGUAAUUUAAACCAUUUCUUUCUCCCAUGCACCCACCUAUGGUCUAUUGCAUAAGUGUAUGACAACAGAGGCAGUAGGAAAACCUUUCUUUCCAUUUUCCGCAAAUAAACAAGAGACCUGCAUGUGGACCCCUGCCAUGUGAGUCAGAAAUGGGUCUUCUCCAGUCCAGUUUCCCUUGCCCAGACUUACUAUCCAUCCUGCUCAUAAACACCUUUGAGUGAAAGAGUUUUUCUCAAAACUGUGUUGUUUUCAAAGGCAAAAAUGCUCAUUGCUUUUUAUUCAUUUUUUCCUUUAUUUCCAAAAAUAUACGUAUAUAUAUUUUUCUUUCCUUUCACCCAAGUUAUACCCAAUAUCAAAACAAAAUAUUUCUAUUUGGAAAUUACUGUCUGGGUAAGUGAAAGAAAGGGGACAAUAAGGAGUUGAGAGAGAGUCUGUGAAGAAAAUAUUUUGAACAUUUGGUGUUACAGGAAAAACAUUCAUGUGAAAAAAAAAAAAAAAAACCUUUCUUAAAUGUUCAGAAUGAAAAUUAUUUCUGUUUUUUUGCUGUUCUUGUUUUUUCUCCAAAGAAUAAAGCUUUAUUUGCUGGAGUUUCAUAAAGAAGCACAACCUGAGAGCAGAGAAUUUGUAUUCCUUAUGCCAUUGACCUUGUGCGAAAUCCUUGUCCACUGCAAAUAAUAGAACACGGAUAUCUCAGUUUCUGUUUUCUGUUCUUCUGCUUGUGCUUUAAGAUAGACAUAAAUAUAAACAAUAAGCAACAAAAAUAAUCAUAGCACCAUGCUGAGCCCAAAAUAGCCACAUUCCGUUAACCAGAUGCAUUUGACUUGUUGUCCAUGCAUGUGAUGAUUGACCUUUCUUUGUAUAAAGCCCCAAAUUAUGCACCAUUAAAGUCAAGUAGAUUUUUUGCCACCGACUUCCCUAAGGUGGAGUAUUUGGUCUGUAGUCAGAUUUCUCCUGAAUUUUAGGAGGGUUUCUGCAGUGUCUCAUGGGGACUAGUAUGCUCCCUAAUGGAGAAAAUAUUUUGCUAUAUGGAUUCCUAUUAUUAAUACAUAGUCCUGUGUAUUAUUCAUAAUGUAUUUGCAGUUCUGACUGAGAGUUCAGGUCAUGGGCAUAAGCUUCUUUGCCUGCAGAUAUUAUUCUGGGCAUGUGCAACUCCUUAGAUAUGGUUCUCUAUUUGACCAGUUUUGGGAGCCUGCUGGAGAACACCUUUGCUUUUUACAUAAGUCGUACUGCCCUUCAAUGAAAAAUAAGGCAUGCGGAGUGAAGGUCCAGAGACUGAAGAGAAAUUAGAAAGGAAAAGAUCUUUUAGGUGCUACAUUCAGAUGAUAUAUUCAUAAGCAGUCAAGGCAAAGAUUUGCAUCUGGAUCUGGGAACUGACAAUGCUCGUUGGUCCCACAUCAUAUACUGCGAAAUGUAGUAUGAUCCUUUUUCUCUGUCUUCUUGCCCCAUGUAUUUUACAAGUGAAGCAUAAUAUUUUAGUUCAGUUCAGUCAAAUUUUAUCUUGAAAUGAAAUUCAAUAUGAAGAAAGGCUGUAAAAAUUGCAUUUUGUGCUUAUGUUUUCUAAAGAGAAUUCAAUGUCAGGUUUUAGUCUGCAUAGAGAGAAACUAAAGAGCUAAAUAGGAUAACCAAAAGUUGUAGGUUUUAUGCAAGAAUAUUCUGUUGUGUGUAUUGGUAUUCUUUUUCUUUUUUCUUCUUUUUUGGCUUCUAAUUUCUUUGGCCACCUUGUAAACUUGCCCUGAUAACCUGACUUACAAACCAGUAUAGUUCUGUAUUAGGAAAGUAGCAUAACAUUUCUGUAGACUAUAUCUAAAAAGAAAAGUGUUACUGCAUGCUUUACCAAAGAUAUAUUGGCUCUAGACUGCCUACAUGAGUAAAAAAGUUUGAAAAAGUUUUAUUUUGGUUGGAAAAGUAAGCAGACAUGACCAAAUACAUAGAAACUGCUAUUUUUAUAUAUCCUUUUCUGACCAUAACCACAGUUGGAUCUGUUUUUCAGAUGUAAGUUGCUACUCAGAAAUGCUAAAUAUUCAAAAUUUUGGCAGGAAUUUGCACACGCACUCACAGAGUAAUACCAAGUCACAAUUAGCUUUAAAGGAAAGUUUUCCUAAAUGAACCAGCAUCUGUCAUAUGAAUUACCUAUUGUGUCCAAAAUAAACCUUUUUUCUUCUUGAUUUAACCUCUUCUAUAUGUAGCACUCCUUACGCUAAAGUUUCAUUGGAUAAUGAGCCCAAUAACAAGCACAUGUAGUAAUUAUUAUUCAAUGUCAUGUUGAUUAAUGAAAAAGUUCUUAAGUAUAAACCAAAAAAUUGUGGUUCAUCUUAUCUGCGGGAUCUACUCUUAUUUAUUUUUUAUUUUUUAUAUUUUUUUUAAUAAAUUGAGCUUGAGAGUAGGAAAAAAAACACCAAGGUAUAGACUGGAGACUGAAUCUCCCUAUUCAAUGCUGUUCAGAAAUGCAGAGUUUAAUAGAACUACAUGUCAAGUGUCAAUCCCUGCUGAGGCACUUGAGCCAGAGUCCCAGAUGGUCACAUGGCACCUUCCAGCCCAAGCCCCAGGCUUUCUUCAUUUCUUCAUGCAGGAAAUAAAAAAAAUAAAAAAAAAAAAUGGGGGGGAAUAGUGGAAAGGAAAGGAAAAGGGGGAAGAAGAGGAUAACAAGAUCCUAGCACAGGGAUUAAUGUGUCUGGUGUCUGGCAGAAGCUCAACCACCCCCUGAGUCCAUCAUUUUAGAUUCAGCCAAGAGGAUUUUGCAUGUCAUCAUGCUAAAUGCUGCAGAUCUGAACUGCUGGUCCCAGAGGGCAAAUUCACCACACCAGUCAUGUGUUUACACCUCCAUGCAGUGAAGCAGGAGAGUUUGGCAUCUCAGAUGAGGCUUCAUGCUGAUUAGACACCAGGGAGACUUUAGGAUGAUGGCAAGAACUACACCUCCUUCUGCAAUGUAGGCACUCAGCUACAUGGCAUUCACAGAUAAAAUCCCACAUGGAUUUAAUACCAUAAACUAUACAGCCUUAAACUUUUUCAACUUUUUCCUUCAGCCCAUGUCAUAGCUUAUUAAAAAAAAAAAAAAAAAAAAAAAAAAAAAAAAAAAGAGUUAGGGGUUAUUGCCUGGCCUUGUAGGAACAAUACAUAGUACAGUUUGGAUUGAACCUCUACAAUUGCAUUUUACCCAAAAGCAAGCAUUUGUAAACAGGCUUCAUACCUCAACUGAGCACUUUCAUGGCACAAACCAUGAAAAACAAUGCAAGACAUGCAUACAAUGUUAAACAAUCUAGAAUAUCAUAUUAUACAUAGAUGUAUGCUCCUGCAGAAUUAAAAGCAUGCUUCUGAAGUUGUUGAGAUUAAAAAAGAAUAUGAUCUCCCAAGUGACUUGGUUGUGUUUCAUUCCACUUAUUAAAAUUAACAUAUGUUCAUAAUAUUCCAAUAUAUAUAAUUCACAAUUUUGCCCACACAAUUCACAAUUUUGCCACACUCUCAGGUGCUGUGUCCUACUCUCAGGUCUGAGUCCUAAACCUAGUCCAGUAAUCCAGGGUUCAUCCCUGCAGUCUUUUAGUGGCAUAAAUACCUUAUGGCUUUCCUAUCUAAGACAUACUUUAACUGCUUUUUACAUGUACGUUAUAUGCUGAUUAAGAAUAGGUAAAUUGAGUAACAAAAAUAAUAAUAAUUUAAGUUCUAGUAUAAAAGCCAUGUAAGCCAUUUAUGGCAUGGUGCCCAGUGGCAGCUGAUUCUGAAUGAAUCCUUCCAGAUUAGUUUGGAAUUGACAAUUUUCAAUAUAUUGGGGGAAAAAAAAAAAAAAAAAAAAAAAAAAAGGCAAGAAUUUAUGUACAUCAAGUUGAUAUUAGUAGGAAUUUUUUUGAUCAAUUUUUUUAGUAUCUUAACACCUAAACGCUUUGUUUACAUGAAGCUAAAUCCUUCAAACUAAUUUACAUUAAUGAAAACAUUAUUUUCAGAAAAAAUCCCAGUAAUAUCCAUACUAAGCUUUUUGGAGUGUGCUGCAUUGUGGCUAAAUGUUCUUAGGAUCUGGCCUUUCGACUCUGGAAGGCAAAACAAUCCCUCACUCUACUCAGAAGUAGUAUGUAUGUAUUAUUUGUAUGUAUUGUAUGUAUUUAUGUAUUGAGAGUUUACAUGUAUGAAUUGAGGAUGUUAAACUUUUUGUUUAAUUUGGUUGUUUGUUUGUUUGUUUGUUUUGUUUCCCCAUCUAUUAAUCUCUGCAAUGCCAAAACUUCUAGAAAAGAUAAAUGCCACAAAAUUCUGAUGUGCUUUGUCUGUAUUACUCAGGGUCUAAUGUGAUUCUCAAAACCUUUACAGUAGAUUUUUUUUGUCCAAGUAGAUUUUUUUUGUCCAAGAAUGUAAGAAAAAAAUGAACCUCUCUUUGACCUUUUUUCUACUAAAAUCAAGUUGUGGUACUGGCCAUUGGAAAAACAAACAGAAGCUGAAUACAUUCAAUAUGAAGCAACAGCCCCAGAAGCCCUUAAUUUACAUGCCAUAGAAAAGUUGAGGAAUGGGGGCUAACAGUGGAGACCAGCCCACAAUGAUCACAUCUUAGGCAUCACAGUUGAAAGCAAGAGGGAAACAGAAAGGAUUAUGCCCCCCAGCAUGUGGUAUUAUAUAAUCUCAGUAGCAUUCUGCAGGCCAAAAAGAAGAAAUUGUUGUAAUUCCAAAGUGGUUUUUUUUUUUUUUUAAUUUCGCAUAAACCACUCUGUUUUACAGAGAAACUUCAUAGCUUCAGAAAAAGAUGUGAAAGUCUACUUGACAUCCUAAUUCUCAUGAAUUUCCAUUCCACUGUUUUUGAAAAAUAUAGCAGGUCUUUGCCCUAGACUUCAUUCUUCAUCAUCAAUAGUAUAAACUAAUUGUUGUUCUAUGUGACACAUUUAAAGAGGUAAUAAAAUAUGUUCACAAAU